CAUAACCCCGGGAAACUGGGGAUAAUACCCUAUAGGUUACGGGUGCUGGAAUGCCCUGUAACCGAAAGUUCCGACGCCUUAGGAUGGAUCUGCGGCCGAUUAGGUUGUUGUCGGGGUAAUGGCCCAACAAGCCAGUGAUCGGUACGGGUUGUGGGAGCAAGAGCCCGGAGUUGGAUUCUGAGACACGAAUCCAGGCCCUACGGGGCGCAGCAGGCGCGAAAACUUUACAAUGCGGGCAACCGUGAUAAGGGAACCUCGAGUGCCUGUAUAUGCAGGCUGUCCAGGUGUCUAAAACACACCUGAAGAAAGGGCCGGGCAAGACCGGUGCCAGCCGCCGCGGUAAUACCGGCGGCUCGAGUGGUGGCCACUUUUAUUGGGCUUAAAGCGUUCGUAGCUGGGUUGUUAAGUCUCUUGGGAAAUCCGGCAGCUUAACUGUCGGGCGUCUAAGGGAUACUGGUAAUCUUGGAACCGGGAGAGGUGAGGGGUACUUCGGGGGUAGGAGUGAAAUCCUGUAAUCCUCGAGGGACCACCUGUGGCGAAGGCGCCUCACCAGAACGGCUUCGACAGUGAGGGACGAAAGCUGGGGGAGCAAACCGGAUUAGAUACCCGGGUAGUCCCAGCCGUAAACGAUGCGCGUUAGGUGUAUCGGUGACCACGAGUCACCGAGGUGCCGAAGGGAAACCGUGAAACGUGCCGCCUGGGAAGUACGGUCGCAAGGCUGAAACUUAAAGGAAUUGGCGGGGGAGCACCACAACAGGUGGAGCCUGCGGUUUAAUUGGACUCAACGCCCGGAAAUCUCACCGGAUAAGACAGCUGAAUGAUUGCCGGGCUGAAGACUCUGCAUGACUAGCUGAGAGGAGGUGCAU
rnacentral:rRNA from 1 species